rnacentral:rRNA from 1 species
AGUGAACGCUGGCGGUAGACCUAACACAUGCAAGUCGAACGGCAGCACAGUAAGAGCUUGCUCUUACGGGUGGCGAGUGGCGGAAGGGUGAGGCAUCCAUCGGUAUCUACUUUUUCGUGGGGGCUAACGUAGGGAAACUUACGCUAAUACCGCAUACGACCUACGGGUGAAAGCAGAGGAUUUUCGGACCUUGCGCGAUUGACUGCGACGAUGUCGGAUUAGCUAGUUGGCGGGGUAAAGGCCCACCAAGGCGACGAUCCGUAGCUGGUCUGAGAGGAUAGUCAGCCACACUGGAACUGAAACGCGGUCCAGACUCCUACGGGAGGCAGCAGAGGGGAAUAUUAGACAAUGGGCGCAAGCCUGAUCCAGCCAUACCGCGUGGGUUGAAAAAGCACUGCGGUUGUAAAGCCCUUUUGUUGGUGAAGAAAAGCAGCAGUUUAAUACCCCGCUGUUCUGACGGUACCCAAAGAAUAAGCACCGGCUAACUUCGUG